rnacentral:rRNA from 1 species
CUCUCUGCCUCGUUCGCCCGAGCGCGGUCGCCGACGCGCCGCCGUCGAUCCCGCGGCCACCAGCCACCCUGCGCCGCACGGAGACAUCUAGGAGAACUGUGGUGCUCCUCUUCUUCAUCUACGCAGAAGAACUCGAGCCAGGGACCAACACAGCGCUGGAUCGGCAUCGUCUCCUACCUCCGGUCGUCGGUGUUCGCUGCGUCGAUCUGCUCACCCUCGAUCCCUCCGGCUUCAUCGAGCCCUCCUCGAGCUCCGCUAUGGCGGAUCUCAGGAGCCAGAUGACACCACUGAUGACUACUGCUACCCCGAGGGUGCCUACUACUACAUGACGGCCGCUGACGACUUGGAGUAGUUAGGAGGCUCCCAG